AGUCGAACGGCAGCGCGGGGCAACCUGGCGGCGAGUGGCGAACGGGUGAGUAAUAUAUCGGAACGUACCCAAGAGUGGGGGAUAACGUAGCGAAAGUUACGCUAAUACCGCAUACGAUCCAAGGAUGAAAGUGGGGGAUUCGCAAGAACCUCAUGCUCCUGGAGCGGCCGAUAUCUGAUUAGCUAGUUGGUGAGGUAAAGGCUCACCAAGGCGACGAUCAGUAGCUGGUCUGAGAGGACGACCAGCCACACUGGAACUGAGACACGGUCCAGACUCCUACGGGAGGCAGCAGUGGGGAAUUUUGGACAAUGGGCGCAAGCCUGAUCCAGCAAUGCCGCGUGAGUGAAGAAGGCCUUCGGGUUGUAAAGCUCUUUUGUCAGGGAAGAAACGGUUGAGGUUAAUACCUUCGGCUAAUGACGGUACCUGAAGAAUAAGCACCGGCUAACUACGUGCCAGCAGCCGCGGUAAUACGUAGGGUGCAAGCGUUAAUCGGAAUUACUGGGCGUAAAGCGUGCGCAGGCGGUUUUGUAAGUCUGUCGUGAAAGCCCCGGGCUCAACCUGGGAAUUGCGAUGGAGACUGCAAGGCUUGAAUCUGGCAGAGGGGAGUAGAAUUCCACGUGUAGCAGUGAAAUGCGUAGAGAUGUGGAGGAACACCGAUGGCGAAGGCAGCCCCCUGGGUCAAGAUUGACGCUCAUGCACGAAAGCGUGGGGAGCAAACAGGAUUAGAUACCCUGGUAGUCCACGCCCUAAACGAUGUCUACUAGUUGUCGGGUUUUAAUUAACUUGGUAACGCAGCUAACGCGUGAAGUAGACCGCCUGGGGAGUACGGUCGCAAGAUUAAAACUCAAAGGAAUUGAC
rnacentral:rRNA from 1 species